rnacentral:rRNA from 3 species
AAAUUGAAGAGUUUGAUCAUGGCUCAGAUUGAACGCUGGCGGCAGGCCUAACACAUGCAAGUCGAACGGUAACAGGAAGCAGCUUGCUGCUUCGCUGACGAGUGGCGGACGGGUGAGUAAUGUCUGGGAAACUGCCUGAUGGAGGGGGAUAACUACUGGAAACGGUAGCUAAUACCGCAUAACGUCGCAAGACCAAAGAGGGGGACCUUCGGGCCUCUUGCCAUCGGAUGUGCCCAGAUGGGAUUAGCUUGUUGGUGGGGUA